rnacentral:rRNA from 1 species
UACGGAGGAUGCAAGCGUUAUCCGGAAUGAUUGGGCGUAGAGCGUCCGCAGGUGGCUAUGUAAGUCUGCUGUUAAAGAGUCUAGCUCAACUAGAUAAGAGCAGUGGAAACUACAAGGCUAGAGUACGUUCGGGGCAGAGGGAAUUCCUGGUGUAGCGGUGAAAUGCGUAGAGAUCAGGAAGAACACCAGUGGCGAAGGCGCUCUGCUAGGCCGUAACUGACACUGAGGGACGAAAGCUAGGGGAGCGAAUGGG